CAAGAAUAGCUUGCAACAGAUGGUAGCAAGAUCCUUUGGUGGGUACAGAGAAAUGAGUUGGGAGAACCAUAUGAGUUAGCCACGAUUAAGGAAGCUCUUCAGAAGCAGUGUCUUGUGCAGAAUUUCCUUGAGAAGGAAGAGAGUCUUUGGUGUAGGAGCUACUGGAACUACUGCAUUAGGCGCUUGUCGAGCUUUGGAAAGCACGGUGAGAUGUCCACUGGUGGUUGAUAAGAUGACAGCCCUGUGUGAGGGAGUUGUGCACUUGAGGACCGUGUCAGAUCAUCUCUAACCAAGUGACGAGAUGGCUUCCGCUCUUCAAUGCGGUUCGGAUUCCUUCCUCUUGUGUCGGAGCUUUUCGGUGAUUUGUUCACUGUUGUGUCUGAUUUCAGAUAUUGUGUUCUCUACCGUGUACUCUUCGAUCAGUUGAUCGCCAGAUGCCUGUGCAUGUAUUUCCCGUAACCGCCGUGGAACUGGUGCAUCAAAAGUGGUGAAAAAUAGUGAGCAUAGGAAUGGGUGAUGAGAAGGACAGCGAGGUGUGGCACAUGCUGACCAGUAUUUCGAUUGACCUGAGCUUGAGCAAUUUCCAAUUACGACUCUCAGAGCAAAGAAAUCGGCAGCCGGAGGUCAAGGCUUCGAGGAGGCUGAAGAAAAUGUAGAGAAUCGCCUUCCAUUCGAGUAUUUAGACGUUCUUUGCUUGUGAUGCAAUCUCCCUAUUUUCAAAUCCUAUACAAUCGAGCAGGGUUUGGCAAAACAAGGAGCAACGUUGGACAUGUAUUCCGGAUAUAUUGGCUGCAUACAUAACCACGCAGUUCGAAACACGGGAUUGAUCACUAUGAAUCAAUUCAGGCUGAAGACAUGGCCCCCAUCACGGAGAAACUCGCUGUUGUCUCUGGACAGAAACAGGGCAUUUCAAUGCAUUCAGUGACAAAUACUGAUUACAAAAAGAUUGGUUGCAACUUGUAAUCUGGUGCCUCCUUCUUGUCAGGUCAAUAGGAAGAUGCUCCGCAGAAGAGAUAAUCGCAAUCAGAUCUUACACAGACAUAAUUUCAGUGGUGGUGUGCGUAUAAACGUGCGAAGCCUCAAUCGGUACCCUAACACAGUAAUUUGCUGCGUUCCAGACUGGUGAACCUUAAACAACAAACGCCAGUUCCUUCUAAAGCAUCUGUAAACAUAAGAGGAACAAGCCCCUCUCUUCACUUCCCCUCCUCCCGCUUACCAUUUUGAUGCUUAGUUGCCAUUCUGAUCAAAAUCUGGUUCAGCCAUGUGCUGUCAUUAAAGAGCAGGUCUACCCAAUAUCUGCGUCGUCAAACACCCUCGUUUUCCUGCCACAUGGUCUGCAGUGCAUUGCC
rnacentral:lncRNA from 1 species